rnacentral:rRNA from 1 species
UGGGGAAUAUUGGACAAUGGGCGCAAGCCUGAUCCAGCCAUGCCGCGUGAGUGAUGAAGGCCUUAGGGUUGUAAAGCUCUUUUGUCCGGGAAGAUAAUGACCGUACCGGAAGAAUAAGCUCCGGCUAACUUCGUGCCAGCAGCCGCGGUAAUACGAAGGGAGCUAGCGUUGUUCGGAAUUACUGGGCGUAAAGCGCAUGCAGGCGGAUCGUUAAGUCGAGGGUGAAAUCCCAGGGCUCAACCCUGGAACUGCCUUCGAUACUGGCGACCUUGAGUCCGGGAGAGGUGAGUGGAACUCCGAGUGUAGAGGUGAAAUUCGUAGAUAUUCGGAAGAACACCAGUGGCGAAGGCGGCUCACUGGCCCUGUACUGACGCUGAGAUGCGAAAGCGUGGGGAGCAAACA